rnacentral:snoRNA from 1 species
UUUUAUGAUGUUUUUACAUACCGCCCCAGUCGGAGAAAUUAUGUCGAUUGGUUACAACUUCUGA